UUUUUUUAAUAAAUUCUACUACAUUAGAUCCUUUAUCAGCCUUCUUUGGUUUUAAUCACACUUCUGGGCAGGAAUCCUCUCCCCAUCUUUCUCUUUGACACACAUGCAACCACAUGCUUUCAUACCCAUAAAUGUCUAUGUGUUACUUUUUGACCUCUUGCAAUUUUUAUAUUUUCAGGGGGAAGGCUGGAAGAAAUAGAGUGCAGGAUCUAAAGAAAAGAUAGCUCAAUUACAGCUGUUCUUUUUUUCCAUCUCUUAUUUCCAGAGAGAGCAAUCUAUUUCAAAAAUUGACUAGGGAAGAUGUUUCCAUCCAUAGGAAAGACAUUGCAAUGGACACCUGGAAAUUUGAAAAUGUACUUUGACUUCAGAUUUUGAACAUUCAGCCCAACUUCAAAACAUUAGGGCUCAAAACCGUUAUUCACUGUGUGCUGACUGACCUCUCCCAUUCCCAGGCUCAACAACUUAUUCUAGUGCUUUGGUUUGUGUUAAUUCCCCAUCUAAAUAUUUCAGCAAGGAAGAACACCGGGGAGAUCAAUGAGAUUUUCCAAAAAAUUGGGAAUAGCAAAUAUUUUCUGGUAGCUCCUCCCAUCAAACACCCUGCUGUGCAACUGGGAAUGCUUCAUCCUCAUUUCUUCUGCCAAUAAGCUGCACCCGGAGGUAUGCAGAUCAAUACUAUUGCUUGAUGUACAUGAAAAGGUGAAUAAAUCAAGAGAAACAUGAAGCAAACAGGAAAGGAAUAUCUCUUUUCCUAGGAACAUUGUGAUGUGUGUUUCUUAUCCCAGCAAAGUCAGAGUAGAUCUCUUAUGUCUUGUGUUAAGAAGAAGGAUGCAUGAAGUUCUAUGUGGAGAUUUUUCCAAGGUGACUUGCAGUUUUGGGAGGUUUGUAAGUUCCAGCUCACAGAAUGAUAGGUGUACAUGAAGUACACGGGCACUGUUGCCUGUCUUUGCACCGAUAGUACAGUCACAGGAUGUCAGUGAAACGUCUGUCACAGUAAUACAGAAGGGCAAAAAUUUCUGUCAACAAACUACUGGCAUCUGUCAUUUUUCUUAAAAAAAAUAAUCUGUAGACUGUUAUUUGCUAUAGCAACUAACUAUUGUACUAAAGAACAUAAAACAGUUGAACAAAGAGGAUUUCUUCUGGGGAAGGCUAAGUUUUCUGUUCCUUCUGACAAGUCUGUUUGAAUAUUUGCCUGUUAUCUAUCGUCACUUCAAC
rnacentral:lncRNA from 1 species